UACGUAGGGGGCAAGCGUUGUCCGGAAUUAUUGGGCGUAAAGCGCGCGCAGGCGGUCCUUUAAGUCUGAUGUGAAAGCCCACGGCUCAACCGUGGAGGGUCAUUGGAAACUGGGGGACUUGAGUGCAGGAGAGAAGAGUGGAAUUCCACGUGUAGCGGUGAAAUGCGUAGAGAUGUGGAGGAACACCAGUGGCGAAGGCGACUCUUUGGCCUGUAACUGACGCUGAGGCGCGAAAGCUAGGGGAGCAAACGGG
rnacentral:rRNA from 1 species